CUUCUCUGAAACUUUCAGAUCUUCCGGAAAUACAGCCCGAGAGACACCAAAUCCCAGUGAUCGACCAAUUGAUUUAAGUCCUUCGGAUCCUUUUUUCACUCCUCUCUUAAAAGACCUUGACGGACUGCUAGUCGCAUGGCUUGAACGUUUUAAACCCUCAAUAUUGAAGCCACAUGUAUUUGUUGUUAGUGAUGCAGAAGGAGAGGAUAGUCUAGAAUCCAAGUCAUCCAACCUUACAAACUUCUCUCGCUGGCCCCCAACAUAUUGGGACUUGGAACCACAGUCGAACAUCUUGUACUAUCAAACACAUAUACAGUCAAGUUGGAAGUCUUGAAAAAUUAAUUCUUGAAAAUAGACAUGAAGAAGAUGAUGAUGAAGAAAAUGGUGAGUUGUUUUUGUUGGGGUGGUGGG
rnacentral:misc_RNA from 1 species